rnacentral:rRNA from 1 species
CCUACGGGAGGCAGCAGUGGGGAAUAUUGGGCAAUGGGCGCAAGCCUGACCCAGCAACGCCGCGUGAGGGAAGAAGGCUUUCGGGUUGUAAACUUCUGUCAAGAGGGAAGAGCCGUAUACGGUACCUCUUGAAUAAACCACGGCUAACUACGUGCCAGCAGCCGCGGUAAUACGUAGGUGGCAAGCGUGGUACGUAUUUACGGGGGGUAAAGGGCGUGUAGCCGGGCUGACAAGUCAGAUGUGAAAUUCCGGUGCUCAACCUGGGACCUGCAUGUGAAACUGUUGGUCUUGAGUAUCUGAGAGGCUGGCGGAAUUCCUAGUGUAGCGGUGAAAUGCAUAGAUAUCACGCAGAACUCCGAUUGCGAAGGCAGCAUUCUGGCGCACGACUGACGCUGAGGAACGAAAGCGUGGGUAUCGAACAGGAUUAGAUACCCUAGUAGUC